CAAGCCUCGAUCUGUUUCAACGAGUAGAGUGUUCAGGUUCGUCAUGUGAUCUGCCUGGAGCAUCUCGGGAAUUGUGGUUUAACGGUCGCUUUCUGUGAACUGGCGCGGAAAGCGCAGCUGCAAGAGACUAGUAAUUUCAGAAGACUUGGUCAAGUAAUCCAAUGGUUCUAACACAAGAGUCAGAUGCCUGUCUUAUAACAAGGAUAUAUGGAAAGUGAGUUAACAUUUUUUUCUGUCAUGGAAGAAAUGUGGUUUGUUCCAGCAUCUUGCUCUUAUUCAGACUGAUAACAUUCACAUAUAUUUUAUUCUUCCUAGCUAUAUUUACCUUAUCCAAAAUGUUGUUUCCUCCUUAAUCAUUUCUGUUCUUUCCUUUCUUCUUGUCUUUAUUGUUGUUGUAUCUUGUACCAUUGGCAUACCAGUUGUCCAUCUGUGCUAUUCAUUUGUUCUUUUAAUU